UUUGUCAAAAACAUGUCUUAAUGAAAUAUAAUUUUAAGUCUAAUCUGCUCAAUGAAUAAUUUUAAAUAGCUGCAGUAUCUUUAACUGUACAAAGGUAGCAUAAUAAUUUGUUUUUUAAUUGAAAACUAGAAUGAAUGAUUAAAUGAAAUAUAAACUAUAUCAAAUUUAAAAAAUAAAUUUAUUAUUUAAAUAAAAAAAUUUAAAUAAUUUUUAAAGACGAGAAGACCCUAAAGAAUUUUAAUAAUAAAUUAUAAUAUAAAUUUAAAAUUUAUUAAUUUAAUUGGGGAAAUUUUAAAAUUUAAAAAAUUUUUAAUUAAAUAAACAUAAAUUUUUGAAUUUUU
rnacentral:rRNA from 1 species